rnacentral:ncRNA from 1 species
AAUAGAGGAGCGGCAGAGCAUCAGUAUUUGCGGAAGUCAGGCUUACGGCAGCAUUUUCCGCAGAAAAAGGGCAUCGCCGCCGAAGUGCAGGGCUCCGCCGUAAGGCUUUGCGCUGGGCGCACGGGAUAAUAUUCGUGCGACUGUCACUUUGAUGUGUUGCGCUAUU